rnacentral:rRNA from 1 species
CAUAUCCAAAAAGCGGAGGAAAAGAAACUAACAAGGAUUCCCCUAGUAACGGCGAGUGAACCGGGAAGAGCUCAAAUUUGAAAUCUGGCGUCCUCAGGGCGUCCGAGUUGUAAUCUAUAGAGGCGUUUUCCGUGCCGGACCGUGUCCAAGUUCCUUGGAACAGGAUAUCAAAGAGGGUGACAAUCCCGUACUUGACACGACGACCGGUGCUCUGUGAUACGUCUUCUACGAGUCGAGUUGUUUGGGAAUGCAGCUCAAAAUGGGUGGUGAGUUCCAUCUAAAGCUAAAUAUUGGCGAGAGACCGAUAGCGAACAAGUACCGUGAGGGAAAGAUGAAAAGCACUUUGGAAAGAGAGUUAAACAGUACGUGAAAUUGUUGAAAGGGAAACGAUUGAAGUCAGUCGUGACCGAGAGGCUCAGCCGGUUCUGCCGGUGUAUUCCCCUCGGUCGGGUCAACAUCAGUUUUGUCCGGUGGAUAAGGACGGUAGGAAGGUGGCACCCUCGGGUGUGUUAUAGCCUGCCGUCGCAUACAUCGGGUGAGACUGAGGAACGCAGCUCGCCUUUAUGGCCGGGGUCGCCCACGUCCGAGCAUAGGAUGUGAAA